rnacentral:rRNA from 1 species
GGGGUAGCUCAUAUUCAAGGACGGGACGGGAAGUGUACGCUGUCUGCAGGUGUGGAAUGCAUGCGGUCAGGGAGGGCAUGUCACGAGGGUCUUUGCACUGGCAGAGUAGAUACAGCCCUUUGGUCUUUUUGGCGUGACUUUCUUGUUUCCUUGGGAUAGCGGUAUCCAGCCCCAACCCAACUUAGGAACAAAAACAAUAAAAACCCCUAUUAAUCUUGGUAAAAAUUUGCCAAUUCAAGCUGUCAAGUAACAAAAUUUAAAAUAAUUACAACUUUCAACAACGGAUCUCUUGGUUCUGGCAUCGAUGAAGAACGCAGCGAAAUGCGAUAAGUAGUGUGAAUUGCAGAAUUCAGUGAAUCAUCGAAUCUUUGAACGCACAUUGCGCCCUUUGGUAUUCCAAAGGGCAUGCCUGUUCGAGCGUCAUUUCGUACCCUCAAGCUUUGCUUGGUGUUGGGCGUCUUGUCUCUAGCUUUGCUGGAGACUCGCCUUAAAGUAAUUGGCAGCCGGCCUACUGGUUUCGGAGCGCAGCACAAGUCGCACUCUCUAUCAGCAAAGGUCUAGCAUCCAUUAAAGCCUUUUUAAUCAACUUUUGACCUCGGAUCAGGUAGGGAUACCCGUGAACUUAAGCA